GGUGGUUCAAUUGACGUUUAAUCACCAAAAUUUCUGUUUCAGUUUGGUGGACAGAUCAUUACUUUAACUAGUAAUGAUUGAUGAACAACAUAGAACCUUGUUUGUUUUCAAUGUUUUUUAAUCACUGUUAAAGAUUCAUCCAGUCCUUGUCAAUUUCCCAUAUCGAUCUCUCUUCAAAACCUCCAAUCUUUCAGAACUUAGAAGAGAAAAAUCACAAAGCCUAAAGAAAACAUUGAAAACAAACAAGGUUCUAUG
rnacentral:misc_RNA from 1 species